AUUGAACGCUGGCGGCAGGCCUAACACAUGCAAGUCGAGCGGAGCGGCGGACGGGUGAAUAAUGCAUACGAAUCUGCCUGGUAGUGGGGGAUGAGGUCCGGAAACGGGCGCUAAUACCGCAUACUAUCAGAUGAGCCUAGGUCGGAUUAACUCGUUGGUGGGGUAAAGGCAUACCAAGGCGACUAUCCGUAACUGGGCUGAGGGGAUGAACAGUCACACUGGAACGUAGACACGGUCCAGACUCCUACGGGAGGCAGCAGUGGGGAAUAUUGGACAAUGGGCGAAAGCCUGAUCCAGCCAUGCCGCGUGUGUGAAGAAGGUCUUCGGAUUGUAAAGCACUUUAAGUUGGGAGGCGUUACCAACAGAAUAAGCACCGGCUAACUUCGUGCCAGCAGCCGCGGUAAUUC
rnacentral:rRNA from 1 species